GUCGAGGGGGGCGGGGGGCCUCGGGGCACGUGUCUAGAAGAACUAGUGUAUUAAUAAGAGUAAGUUUUUCAUUUGGCUUUUUGUGUGAUUAAAACGCAUGGUAGAUUUUGUAAUUAUGUAUUAUUUUGCAUUGUUAUGAAAAGAAAAAUUCUUUAUUUUCGUGUUAAACUUUCAAGUGUUAUUUAACUGACAAAAUUUCUAUUUAUACAUGAUGAGUUUGAUAAUAUUUGAAUGUUUUAUGCAUAAUAGUGAUGUUAGGGGAAAUAUAUAUAUUCGUGAUAUUCACGUGCUUUGUCGAGAACUAGUGCAUCAUUAAUAAGAGUAAGUUUUUCUCGUGAAGCAUUUGGCUUUUUGGUUGAUUAAAACGCAUGGUAGAUUUUGUAUAACUUUCCAUAUAAACUUCCUGAAAGCUUUCAAAUGCUCCUUUUUUAUGUAUGAAUUUAUUUCUAAAAAAUGGCUCUGUCCCUGUUGAAUCAAGGAGGUUAACAUCGAAGCUUAGAUAUAAGAAAGAACUGUUGUCUGCCUGCCUGCAUAUUGGUAUUUUCUUUUCUUUGUUUUGAAUUCAUGUCCAUUUUCAGUCUCUUCUGAGUAUUAAGUAAGUUGGCAUCUCUGUUUUAUGUAUGCUGAGAUUGUCCAAUGAACCAAAUGAUUGGGGAUAUAUAGCUAUGUAUCAUCUUCUAUAUCACUAAGUUAAGGGAUGUAUCUUCUUUAUCACUAAGUUAAGGGUAAGACUCAGUUUUCUUUCUUUAAUCGCUAUUGAUAUGUCAAUUUCUUUGUGCUAACAAUUUCGAGCUCGCCGUGAAAUACGGGUGUCCUGUUUGAGUAGUAUAAACAGUAUGGGUGUCCAGCUGCUGGAAUGUGCUAUCACUCACCUUCAUCUAUUUUGUUUGUUUUCUCAGUUUAUGUGUGAUCCAUAGCUGAAAGUUUGGCAUUUAUCUCGGUUUUCCCUUCCUAUUUGAUUUUUUUUCAAUAAUCGCCGUUAGGUCAAUUCUGCUAUUUAAGGUAAAAUCUGAUUGAUAGAUUACGACUUGGAGAAAUUUAAAAAUCUGACAGUAGUGUCAAAGUAAGAAGUUUUUAACUGACAGAAUAUUUGAAUGGUAUCAUACAUACAUAGUCAAGUUUCAACCAGCUUUUGGGAAUUCUGGAAGUCACGUGCUCAUCAAAGUAAAUUUUAUAUACACUGAUGCAACGGUCUAUCUCCACAAUGGGUGUUCAAAUCCAGUGGUGCAUUGUGACUUGAAGCCAAGUGUCUUGCUUGAUCAAGACAUGGUUGGCCAUGUCAGUGAUUUUGGCAUUGCAAAAUUGUUAGGUGCAGGGGAGAGUUUUGUUCAAACAAGGACAAUAGCAACCAUUGGAUAAUUGCUCCAGAGUAUGGACAAGAUGGAAUCGUAUCCACAAGCUGCGAUGUUUAUAGUUUCGGUAUCCUGAUUGAUGGAGACGUUUACAAGAAUCAGACCAGGUGAUGAAAGAUUUACUGGAGAGUUGAGCAUACGACGUUGGGUUAGUGAUUCUUUUCCAGAUGAGAUUCAUAAGGUGGUGGAUGCUAAUUUGGUACAGCCUAGGGGAUGAACGAAUUGACGCAAAGAUGCAGUGUCUGUUGUCUAUUAUAGAGUUAGCUUUGAGCUGUACUUUAGCAACACCUGAUGCAAGAAUUAGUAUGGAAGAUUCUCUUUCAACACUUCAAAAUAUCAGGCUCCAGUUUGUCAAUAGUCGCCACCGAAAAAAGCAACUGAAGGAUUUAGUACCGAAAAAAGCAACUUGCUUGGUAAUGGCAAGGUCUACAAUGUACAAUUGGAGGGUGCAUUCAAAAGUUUUGAUACAGAAGAAUGUGAAAUCUGACCAAAGUCAUCAAAGCCUUAAUGUUAGAAUACAUGUCUAGUGGGACACUUGAUAAAUGGCUGUACUCUCACAAGUUGUUCUUGGAUUUACUUCAUAUUAUGUACUCUUUCACUUUCAGUGCCAGCUGGAAUGGUGAUUUUCUAGCUACUGGAGUUCACAAUUCUAAUCCAUAAUUAAUUGUCUCCUCGA